CCUACGGGAGGCAGCAGUGAGGAAUAUUGGUCAAUGGGCGCGAGCCUGAACCAGCCAUGUAGCGUGAAGGAUGACUGCCCUACGGUUUUUAAACUUCUUUUAUAAAGGCAUAAAGUGAGGCACGUGUGCCUUUUUGUAUGUACUUUAUGACUUAGUAUCGGCUACCUCCGUGCCAGCAGCCGCGGUAAUACGGAGGAUCCGAGCGUUAUCCGGAUUUAUUGGGUUAAAAGUGAGCGUAGAUGGUUUGUUACGUCAGUUGUGAAAGUUUGGGGGUCAACCGUAAAAUUGCAAUUGAGACUGGCAGGCUUGAGUACAGGUGAGGUAGGCGGAAUUCGUGGUGUAGCGGUGAAAUGCUUAGAUAUCACGAAGAACACCGAUGGCGAAGGCAGCUUACUAAACUGCCACUGACAUUGAUGCACGAAAGUGUGGGUAGCAAACAGGAUUAGAUACCCCGGUAGUC
rnacentral:rRNA from 1 species